AUUGAACGCUGGCGGCAUGCCUUACACAUGCAAGUCGAACGGUAACGGGUCCUUCGGGAUGCCGACGAGUGGCGAACGGGUGAGUAAUAUAUCGGAACGUGCCCAGUAGUGGGGGAUAACUGCUCGAAAGAGCAGCUAAGACCGCAUACGACCUGAGGGUGAAAGGAGGGGAUCGCAAGACAUCUCGCUAUUGGAACGGCCGAUAUCAGAUUAGCUAGUUGGUGGGGUAAAGGCCUACCAAGGCAACGAUCUGUAGUUGGUCUGAGAGGACGACCAGCCACACUGGGACUGAGACACGGCCCAGACUCCUACAGGAGGCAGCAGUGGGGAAUUUUGGACAAUGGGCGCAAGCCUGAUCCAGCAAUGCCGCGUGCAGGAAGAAGGCCUUCGGGUUGUAAACUGCUUUUGUCAGGGAAGAAAUCUUCUGGGCUAAUACCCCGGGUGGAUGACGGUACCUGAAGAAUAAGCACCGGCUAACUACGUGCCAGCCGCCGCGGUAA
rnacentral:rRNA from 1 species